UGUCUUCAGGGCGGGGUGCAAUUCCCCACUGGCGGUAUAGUCCGCGACCGGAGGGUCCCCCCUCCGCUGACUCGGUGCAACUCCGGGACCAACGGUAUAGUCCGGAUGGAAGAAGAUG
rnacentral:ncRNA from 1 species